rnacentral:rRNA from 1 species
UACGUAGGGUGCGAGCGUUGUCCGGAAUUACUGGGCGUAAAGAGCUCGUAGGUGGUUUGUCGCGUUGUUCGUGAAAACCGGGGGCUUAACCCUCGGCGUGCGGGCGAUACGGGCAGACUUGAGUACUGCAGGGGAGACUGGAAUUCCUGGUGUAGCGGUGGAAUGCGCAGAUAUCAGGAGGAACACCGGUGGCGAAGGCGGCGACCUGGUCCGAUACUGACACUCAACUACGAAAGCGUGGGGAGCAAACAGG